rnacentral:tRNA from 1 species
GGAGAGGUGCCGGAGUGGUUGAUCGGGGCGGUCUCGAAAACCGUUGUGGGGGUAACUCCACCCAGGGUUCGAAUCCCUGCCUCUCCGCCA